AGCUCCCAACACCUAGAUACCUGUAUUUUUCCAAAGCCUUGGUUUGGGAGUCAUUUCCUCAUGCGUUACAGCUCCUUUGGACUGAGUAUGCUUCCGACGUCAGGGAGCAAGAUGGCAUUGAUCCUUCUGUCUUCUGUUCCCACUUAAGACCUAAAAUGGGAGAUUUCGCUCUGCAAAAAUUCAUCUAUUGAUAUUUAAGAAAAUGCUUACCAGGCGCCUCCAAUGGAACAGUUCUGUACAAGGUGGACCUACCAUGGUGAACAAAGGAAACAGUCCCCACCGUCUUUGUUCUGGAAGCUCAGUAAAGGAGUGUGGAAGGCAUGAAAGGUCCCACCACAGACCCACCAAACCAGAAAUUCUGGGAUGGGACCUGGGGCUGCUUUGAAGAGCACUCCUGCGGACUGCGAUGCAUGCUACAGUUUGAGAGAAGACUUGGGCUAAUGAUGUGGAGAGCUAAAUGAAAAUUAUUUUUCCUAUUCCCACAGAAGAUAAAGAGGAGAAGAUUCCAUUCAUUAUCUCUUUCUACUAAAAGCCUAUAUGGGGGUGCCUGGCUCGCACAGUUGGUUGAGCGUCCGAGUCUUGGUUUCUGCUGAUGUCGUGAUCUCAGGGUUGUGGGAUUGAGUCCCAUGUCAGGCUUCCUGCUGAGUGGGA